GCGGGUACGUGGGUGCGGAACACGUGUGCAACUGCCUUUAUCUGGGGGAUAGCCUUUCGAAAGGAAGAUUAAUACCCCAUAAUACGUUGAAUGGCAUCAUUCGAGCAUUGAAAACUCCGGUGGAUAGAGAUGGGCACGCGCAAGAUUAGAUAGUUGGUGAGGUAACGGUCACCAAGUCUACGAUCUUUAGGGGGCCUGAAAGGGUGAUCCCCCAACUUGGUACUUGAGACAUGGACCAGACUCCUACGGGAGGCAAGCAGUGACGGANAUCAUUUGGACAACCGGGGUUGAAGAGCCUGAUNCCAGCAUCCCCGCGUGAAGGACUGAUUGCCUAUGGGUUGUCAACCUUCUCUUUGNGAUACGGGAUUAAACCUAACCUUCGUGAGGAGUAAGCCUGAAGGUCACUCAUCACGGAAUUAAAGCACCGGCUNAAANUCCCGUUGCCAAGCAGGACGCGGAUAACUCACGGGACAGAGGUUGCCCAAGGCGUUAUUCCGGGGAUNUAAUCGGGUCUUAAAAAGGGGUCCCUGUAAUUGCAGGAUUCUGGUGCACAGGUCCACGUUGGGUUGGAAAAAUUUCNUCNACAAAAGGGGUUAUCAA
rnacentral:rRNA from 1 species